GUAGUCUCGCACAGAUGCAUAUCAAUAAGCGGAGGAAAAGAAACUAACAAGGAUUCCCCUAGUAACGGCGAGUGAAGCGGGAAGAGCUCAAAUUUGAAAUCUUAAAGGGUUUCCCUUUACGAAUUGUAGUUUAAAGAAGUGUUUUCUGUUGAGGUUUUGGUAAAAGUUCUUUGGAAUAGGACAUCAUAGAGGGUGAGAAUCCCGUAUUUGACCUUUACUUUCAACUUUGUGAUACACUUUCAAAGAGUCGGAUUGUUUGGGAAUGCAGUCCAAAAUGGGUGGUAAAUUUCAUCUAAAGCUAAAUAUUGGCGAGAGACCGAUAGCGGACAAGUACCGUGAGGGAAAGAUGAAAAGAACUUUGAAAAGAGAGUUAAACAGUACGUGAAAUUGUCAAAAGGGAAGCGUUUGACACCAGUGUUGUUUUUCUGAAAAUCAAUUAAAGAACUGUUUAUGCUAAGUUGUUUAGACUUUAUCAGCUAUCUGUUUAGUUUUGAGCUUUUCUUUAAUGCACUUUUCAGUUAACAAGUCAACAUCAAUUUCUUUUGCUGUAAAAAAGCUUGAGGAAGGUGGCUUGAGAUUCGUCUUAAGUGUUUAUAGCCUCUUGCCUAUGCAGUCGGAGAGAUUGAGGUCUGCAGCGUAGAUCCUUCGGGGCUAAAUGCAUUUGUGCUAAGUUAUAACAUUUUAUAGACAACUUGUUGACUAUGAUUUGUCUUGUAGCUUACUCGCUUAUGUUAUUUUACCUACGCUUAGGAUGUUGAUCUGUAGUGCGUGCGC
rnacentral:rRNA from 1 species